rnacentral:rRNA from 1 species
GACAGAGGGUGCAAACGUUGUUCGGAAUUACUGGCGUAAAGCGUGCGCAGGCGGUGAUGUAAGACAGAUGUGAAAUCCCCGGGCUCAACCUGGGAACUGCAUUUGUGACUGCAUCGCUGGAGUACGGCAGAGGGGGAUGGAAUUCCGCGUGUAGCAGUGAAAUGCGUAGAGAUGCGGAGGAACACCGAUGGCGAAGGCAGCCCCCUGGGCUAGCACUGACGCUCAGGCACGAAAGCGUGGGGAGCAAACAGG